GGGCGCCGAGCAGCCACCACAGAAACAGGAGGAGAGGAGAAGAGAAGAGAGGAGAGGAGAGGAGAGGAGAGGAGAGGUGGAAGAGAGGAGAGGAGGAAGAGAGCAGGAAGGAGUGCGCUCACCUUGGGAGGAGCAAGUCAAGAUGAGGAGUAAACUGAUGUAGAAGUGGCUCCACACACAGACGCACACACACACACACACACAAACACGCUGUCUCUAUACAGCAUGGAGGAGAUGUGCAAGCUGGAUUAGUGAUGGAUGCAGUCUGUACUGUGAGACCGGAGGAGGAAGUAAGUUUGUUCAGAUGGACGUGGAGACUAACAGAGGGCAAUAGGAGUGGGAGCCGGAGUGAGGAUUCUCAGACAGAGGCGCUGAAUGGGCUGCAGGUCUGUGCGCUUUUAACACCAGCUAAAGAGGAAUGUUUGGCUAUAUUGUUAUGCAGCUAUGAAGAAUGUAUCAAGCCAGUAGUUCACAGAGCAGAAGCAGAGGCUAUCAUCAGGCCAGUGAUGUGAUCUUCCUUCAGUAUCACCAUCAAAGCCUAAGUCAAUGAGGAGCGUUGGAGGGAGUCUGGAUGCUGGCCCAAGGAGUGAGAGCAUCUGUGCUGGACACAACCCCAAUACACUGGACCUGCUCAACCAUUACACAGAUUUGAGACCUUGCUGUUAAGAUGAAAGAUGUGUGUUCAUAUGCAUGUACAACAUGAUGUUUGGAGGGCUUGCUGUUCUUACUGAAUAUGUGCUGGCAAUACGUCUGGAGCACUGGGCACACGCUUAGUGUUACCGGUACAAGGACAGAGGACUGUGCUGUUUCAUGUUGUGGUUGUCGUCCUGGGUAUUAAAGUCUCAGCUAAUUCUGUCAUUUUGUCUGCGCUGUAUCCAAAGCAGUCAAUUUGCUAAGUGUAUGUAGGCCCGAGCAACAGCCCCAGUUCAGAAGUCACUCCUGGGCCCCAGGCCUCACAUGCAGUAACACCGCCCCCUCUGGACUGGAGCAUGGGACAGGUACAGACUUAUAACUAACUCUUAGACAUUACCAUACCUAUGGCCAAUCAACAAAACUGAUGACUUUUGAGGGCUGUCUUCAAAAAAUAUCCGUGAAAGGUACCUAAGUAAAGAUAAGCAGGUCUUUUAAAUGUUUGGAUAUUUUCUUAGAUGUUGAUGGACCAGUCCAAUUAUGUGUAAAUACAGGCUUUUUGCAGCUCUUUGAUUGCUAGCCAUACUCUUUUCUGCUAUGACAUAAUUUGCUUUGUUGUUUUCUUCAAUAGCGCUCCAAUGACAUCAUUGUGUUGAAACUGAACAAAAGGCAUUGGGAAAAAAAGAAUAUGAGAGGUUCAGGAACGACCAUUACAUGAAUUGGAAAUAUUAUCCAGAGCAGGGAAAAGCUAUGAAUGUCUUUCUCCUAAUAAGUGUUUGCAUUUGAUCUGUAAUGUGGUGAUUAACUGUGUUGACUCUAUAGAACCUGCUGUUGUUCCUGUUUAAAUGGACCGAUAGGCUGCCAAGAUAAUCUGUAAACAUUUUUGUUGAGUGGUGGCACUCUCCUCUAAUUAGUGUGCUGGAUGCAAGAUUAGGCCUUGUAAUUAAUUGAUUAGACGUCUUGGGGCAUGGGUAUAUCAGUUCAAUCUAGACACACUGGUAUACCGGUCGAGCACAUCCCAUCCGAAUAGAAAAUCCAAGAUCUUGACAACAAACUGGAAAGUAAGGACUGUGGUGCACCAGGUUUCACCCUAUCACUUUUUCAACUCUUUUCUUUCUUUCUGUCUGAAGUCAGGUGUUUGGUGUGGCAUAUGUCAGCGUCUUACCUGUCUAGGCAUCCCGGCGUCCCUGCUGUCCUGGGAGUCAGCCAAGCGAUGUCAAUUAGCCGUAAGCCAAUGCCAUGACGCGCUCGGGCUGUACCAGGGCUACUGUAUCAUGUUCUGGCUCCCGCAGAGCGGGGCGCAUCUGCGCGGCACCAGGACGAGCGACACCGUUUACAUGGCUUCAACAGGCUCAUGUUCGGGCGUCUUUCUGAUGCGCCAUGAUAAACCCACACACUACAUACAAGCCAGAAAGGCGAGCCAGAACCCCCAGCUCCAGUUGCUCUCCCGCUAACAUCCCCUCCACACGGUUCCCCUGAUAUCACUCUCUCGUUUUGUCUCCACCACUCUCACAACAAACUCUCUCUUUCGGCCAUUUAUACAAUGUUUUUUCUCUGUAGAUGUCUUUGUUACAUUUUUUUCUCAUAUUCUGAAGAUUUGCCAUUGAUCGUUAUGUAGUGAGAUAAUUGUGGCAACUUUUGAUCUUCUUUGAUUAUAAAACUUGUACUUUGAGAACAAAAAAUGGGAUCUUAAAUAUAUUCUCUAUAGAUGUUUCAGUAGAAUUUAUUCCAUGUUUUUCCAUGUGAAAACAAAUAAUAGUUUUACAUAUGUUUUUUUGUUUUUCAAAUGAAGCAGUUUCAUAAAGCAUUUUCAUAAGGCACAUUUAAUUUGGUUUUUAGGUUCAAGUUUUGGAACUGCAAUAAAUCUUUCCUAUCCUCUCUUUGGGAAACACCAUUCGUCUCUAUGGAGCAUCCGAGAUCCCUCUAUUAGUAAUCUGAUCUGCUCUACCAGUUUGGUGUGCAAAGGUGAGACAAUGUAGAGACAGAAGGCAAUGAAUAUGUCUUCAUCUGUAGACAUCUAAAAUGGGAAUCCAGCUGUUUGUUUGUUUAAAUUGUUGUACGCUGUCACACUGGUGCAUGUUUGUGUAUGUGUACAUUCUGUUGGAGUGACAUUGUGGGUCAGUCAGAACUCAGAAGGUUGUACCUUAAACACAAGCUGCCCUUGACCUCAUCGAGUGUUCAAUGGAGGCUUACCUCCAGGACAAUCAAAAGGUUGUGGGUGUGUGCCGUAUCCAUGCCGCGGGAGCACAAGAAAGAAAAUCUCUUAAUUCUGAGGUAUUGUUCCCUUAAUCCCCCUGUCCAUCACACAUCAGUAAGUGUUUCUUUUCUGGCCGUCCAUCAGGGAGUAAGGAGGCAACUUUCAUCUGGGAUC
ensembl:lncRNA